GCAUUGGUGCUUCAGUGGUAGGAUUCUCGCCUUCUAUGCGGGAGACUCAGGUUCAAUUCCCGGCCAGUGUG
rnacentral:tRNA from 1 species